GUGGAGUGAGUUAAUUUGCAAUGAAAAUAAAAUCAAAUACAAAUGAUAGGUAAGCGAGUAUAAAGUACAAAGAACAAAAAAAGAGAUGCAAGCACAACAAACACAAAAAAUUUAUAGUGAUUCGGUGCCAACCUUAUACCUAUAUCCACUCCCCAAAUCUCUACUUAAGAAUUCAAUCCACUAAAAGGAUUUCAAGAAUACAACACAUUGGACAACCCC
rnacentral:lncRNA from 1 species